ACUACAUAGCAAGACGGCCUUAAAGAAAAAAAAUGCACACCAGAAGCAAGGCCUGCGGCAGGGUUCAACAUAGACAAGCUCCCUUGCUUGGUCUACUCCAGCCACACUGGCCAGCAUCUGGGUCUCCAACAGUCUUAAGCUUGCCUGUCUCAGAACCUUUGCAUUUGCUCUUCCCUCUGUUGGGAGCACUCUUCCCAGAACCCUUCCUGCCUGUCUGAUUUUCAGUUCAGACAUCAGCUCUUUUGGAAGAGGUCAUAGCAAACCCUGCCCCCAAUCUAAAGCGCCAGCUCCUGUCCUCCAUCCCUCCUAUUAUAUCACCUUGCUUUUUUGUUUUUAUUUCUCUUGUCAUUGCUGGGAAGUCCUUUGUUUCUUUAUUUGCUGUUCUUGGGAUGGCUUUUGGCUUUUUGUUUUUACAGUGCUUGGGAUGGAACCCAGGGCCUCACACAUCCUAGGCAAGUGCUCCACCACUGAGUCACAGCCCAAUAAUCUUUACUUUUAUUUAUUCAUUUGUGGUAUUGGAGAUCAAGCCCAGUGAGGUUCCGUCACUGAACUAACUCCUCAGCCCCUUUUAUUUUUUAUUUUGAAACAAGGUCUCACUAAGCUGCCCAGGUAGGACUCGAGCUUUCAACCCUCCUGCCUCAGCCUUCAAAAGUGCUCCGAUUACAGGUCAAACUAUUACACAGAGCAAGUUUUGAACUCAGAAAGCCUGGCUCUAGAACCUAUUCUUUUCACCACCAUUUGCGUGAUAGAAGAGUUGAAUUACGGGAAAUACGAAAUACAUUCCAGUCAGUUUUGAGCUCAGAAGUUUGAGGAAAGAUGAAAGAAACCAUGAAAAAGUAUGAGUUUUUUAACUUCAGAAACCGGCCACUAAGACGCAUGCUAGUGAAAGGCUUUGGUCACCCCGUGCCUGGUCAGAAGCCCGGGUGCACACUGUUGACCCUUGACCCCACUGCGCCCUCUGGAGCCAUCUUACCCAGCAGUUGGAUCUUCCUUUGUAACUCAACCACCUGUGUGUGCACAGCGGUCUUCACUGGACAGUGGCGGCGGAGUCCCGCCUUGGAAUGGACUGGGGCCCAGGCCUGUGCCCCCACCGAGCCCUUGCCUCGGGGGUGGCCCUGCUUGGCCGGAGCCUUACUGCCCUUGGCUUUGGAAGAGGGCAUCAAAGCCUGAU